rnacentral:rRNA from 1 species
GAUGAACGCUGGCGGCAGGCUUAACACAUGCAAGUCGAGCGGGGUGAUGGUGCUUGCACUAUCACUUAGCGGCGGACGGGUGAGUAAUGCUUAGGAAUCUGCCUAUUAGUGGGGGACAACAUCUCGAAAGGGAUGCUAAUACCGCAUACGUCCUACGGGAGAAAGCAGGGGACCACUUGUGACCUUGCGCUAAUAGAUGAGCCUAAGUCGGAUUAGCUAGUUGGUGGGGUAAAGGCCUACCAAGGCGACGAUCUGUAGCGGGUCUGAGAGGAUGAUCCGCCACACUGGGACGGAGACACGGCCCAGAAUCCUACGGGAGGUAGCAGUGGGGAAUAUUGGACAAUGGGGGGAACCCUGAUCCAGCCAUGCCGCGUGUGUGAAGAAGGCCUUAUGGUUGUAAAGCACUUUAAGCGAGGAGGAGGCUCCUUUGGUUAAUACCCAAGAUGAGUGGACGUUACUCGCAGAAUAAGCACCGGCUAACUCUGUGCCAGCCGCCGCGGUAA